AUUUACUUUUUUUUUCUUUAUUUUCUCUUUGGCUUAAUUUCAAUUUUGGUCUCCCUAUUUUUAUUUGUUUUUAGUUUGAUCCCCCUAUUUUAAAAUCCAUAAUUUUGGUCCCCCUACUUUCAUUUUUUUUAUGAUUUUUGGUCCCCCCUUUUUAAAAUCAGGAAUUUUGGUCCCCCAUAUUUUCAUUGUUUUUGAAUUUUGAUCUUCUAUUUUAAGUU
rnacentral:lncRNA from 1 species